rnacentral:tRNA from 1 species
GUUCUUAUAGUUGAAUAACAACGGUGAUUUUUCAGGUCAUUGGUCAUGGUUUAAAUCCAUGUGGGAAUU